CCGCGAAUCGCCCUUCGGGGCGCACCAGGCGCGAAAACUUUACAAUGCGGGAAACCGUGAUAAGGGGACACCGAGUGCCAGCAUCAUAUGCUGGCUGUCCGGGUGUGUAAAAUACACCCGUUAGCAAGGGCCGGGCAAGACCGGUGCCAGCCGCCGCGGUAACACCGGCGGCCCGAGUGGUGAUCGUGAUUAUUGGGUCUAAAGGGUCCGUAGCCGGUUUGGUCAGUCCUCCGGGAAAUCUGACGGCUCAACCGUUAGGCUUUCGGGGGAUACUGCCAGGCUUGGAACCGGGAGAGGUAAGAGGUACUACAGGGGUAGGAGUGAAAUCUUGUAAUCCCUGUGAGACCACCUGUGGCGAAGGCGUCUUACCAGAACGGGUUCGACGGUGAGGGACGAAAGCUGGGGGCACGAACCGGAUUAGAUACCCGGGUAGUCCCAGCCGUAAACGAUGCUCGCUAGGUGUCAGGCAUGGCGCGACCGUGUCUGGUGCCGCAGGGAAGCCGUGAAGCGAGCCACCUGGGAAGUACGGCCGCAAGGCUGAAACUUAAAGGAAUUGGCGGGGGAGCAC
rnacentral:rRNA from 1 species